rnacentral:rRNA from 1 species
UACGGGGGGGGCAAGCGUUGUUCGGAAUUACUGGGCGUAAAGGGCUCGUAGGCGGCCAACUAAGUCGGAUGUGAAAUCCCCAGGCUCAACCUGGAAACUGCAUCCGAUACUGGAUGGCUUGAAUCCGGGAGAGGGAUGCAGAAUUCCAGGUGUAGCGGUGAAAUGCGUAGAUAUCUGGAGGAAUACCGGUGGCGAAGGCGGCAUCCUGGACCGGCAUUGACGCUGAGGAGCGAAAGCUAGGGGAGCAAACGGG